rnacentral:lncRNA from 1 species
GUUAUACAAGGUUCAUGUAGUUCACAGGAGGGAGGAGGAUGACAUAAUUACUGAGUCUCAGGUUCUUAGCCUCAUUAAUAGUGUCAGAUAUGAGGUGUGUCACAUGGACUGAGCCUUGUAUCCCAUCAAAAAGUGGCUGGCUACUCCUAUAGCAUUUGUGCCAUGUUGGCCCAGCAGGUGGAGCUUGCAGGCAGGUCACUGUUGUACUUACAGGGUCAUAGCUGGGUGAGAUUAACAGCUCCUUUCUCCUGUGGUAGCCUACAUAGUGUCUUCCACUCAGGAGCUUCUAUCAGUGCACCAGCUUGAUUUCCCCAUGUUCUCUGACAAGAGGAUAUGAUGCCUUCAACAAUAGGGGUCUCACUUGUUAGACCGUGGAGGGUAACUGACAGAACUGAUGUAGCCCGUGUCUGCGGGGCGCCUUUAUAUAAGGAUUCAAAACGACCCAACCCAUUCCUGGUUCUGAGGCUUUGUCUGGAAGCAUAUAAUGUCCAGCUGGAGUAUUAACUCCUGCAUUUUGUGAAAACUUCAUUUAAACACAUUUUAUAUAUAUAGGUCUUAAGAAGGUUCAUCAGUGUUUUAAUUAGAGGAGCUGUCUUACAAUGUCAUCAGGUGUCAGUACUUUAUUCUUUAACUAACAUUCUCAAUGUUGCUGCUUAAGUUUUUUGAACAUGCCAACUCUUAUUUUUAAAAAAGUGUGUGUCUGUGUCUGUCUGUCAGUCUGUCUCACCCCCCACCCCCCGCCACACACACACCAGGAGGGGGGAGGAUAUGAAUGAAUGUAUGUGUGUGUUGUAUGUAUGCCGGUAAAGGUCCGUGGAGCUGGAAAAGAUGUGAUAUAGGCCUGGGGACUGAACUCAAGUUCCCUGGGAGAGCAACAUGUGCUCUUAGCUACACUGCCAGCUCUCUAGCGCCAACACUAGUGGUUUAUUUUAGUUCAACUUCCGAAAUUUUUAUUAUGGGAUUCCACGGAGGGUAUGGUUUAUUUGUAUUUUUAUUACUGUUUUUUCAUGUCCAGCAGUGUUUUUAUUUUAUUGUACUAUCUUACAUGUUAGUCACAACAUAACUAAAGCAGCUGGAGAACCCCAAUGACAGGUGAAAGGGAUUUGCAUUUACCUGGGCCAGGCGCAGACCUGCGGCGUUAACAUUUGACUUCCUGUGAAUGAUGGUUUAGUUCUGCUUUUAUACUUACUAUAAGAUUAUAACCCUGUGAAAUUCUGGGUCAUACAAGGCUUCAUUUGUCUGUGUAGAGUUUUGAAUCCUACUGUUGGUGACUCUGCACAUAAGCUUGGGAAAACUUCUACUCCUCUUCUCAGCCUAUCAGCCAUGUUUGACAUUGAGAAAAGGUUGGGGCACAAAGCUGUGCCAUACAACCUGUCUGAAUUACCUUUUAAGAAUGUCUGUGUCCAUGGUAUGCACUCGCUGAUAAGCAGAUAUUAGCCCAGAAACUCGGAAUACCCAAGAUACAAUUCGCAAAAUACGUGAAACUCAAGAAUAAGGAAGACCAAAGUGUGGAUACUUCGAUCCUUAGAAGGGGGAACAAAAUACUCAUGGAAUGAGUUACAGAGAGAAAGUGUGAAGCAGAGACUGAAGGAAUGACCAUCCAGAGACUGCCCCACCUGGGGAUCCAUCCUAUAUAAGAUCUCCAAACCCAGACACUAUUUCGGAUGCCAACAAGAGCUUCCUGACAGGAGCCUGAUAUAGCUGUCUCCUGAGAGGCUCUACCAGUGCCUGACAAAUACAGAAGUGGAUGCUCAUAGCCAUCCAUUGGACGGAGCACAGGGUCCCCAAUGAAGGAGCUAGAGAAAGUACCCAAGGAGUUGAAGGGGUUUGUAGCCCCAUAGGAGGAACAACAAUAUGAACUAACCAGUACCCCAAGAGCGCCCUGGGACUAAACCACCAACCAAAGAAAACACAUGGUGGGACUUAAGGUUCUAGCUGCAUAUGUAGCAGAGGAUGGCCUAGUUGGUCAUCAAUGGGAGGAGAGGCCCUUGGUCCUGUGAAGGUUCUAUGCCACAGUAUAUUGGAAUGCCAGGGCCAGGAAGCCAGAGUGGGUGGGUUCGUGAGCAGGAGAAGGGGGACGGUUAGGGGGUUUUCGAAGGGGAAACCAGGAAAAGGGAUAAUAUUUGAAAUGUAAAUAAAGAAAAUAUCUAAUU